GACGAACGCUGGCGGCGUGCUUAACACAUGCAAGUCGAACGGAAAGGCCCCUUUGGGGGUACUCGAGUGGCGAACGGGUGCGUAACACGUGCGUAACCUGCCCUUGACUUCGGGAUAACUUCAGGAAACUGGGGCUAAUACCGGAUAGGAAUCCUUGCUGCAUGGUGGGGGUUGGAAAGCUUCGGCGGUUUUGGAUGGACUCGCGGCUUAUCAGCUUGUUGGUGGGGUAGUGGCUUACCAAGGCUUUGACGGGUAGCCGGCCUGAGAGGGCGACCGGCCACAUUGGGACUGAGAUACGGCCCAGACUCCUACGGGAGGCAGCAGUGGGGAAUAUUGCACAAUGGGCGGAAGCCUGAUGCAGCAACGCCGCGGGCGGGAUGACGGCCUUCGGGUUGUAAACCGCUUUCAGCAGGGGCGAAGCUUGUGGUGACGGUACCUGCAGAAGAAGCACCGGCUAACUACGUG
rnacentral:rRNA from 1 species